rnacentral:misc_RNA from 1 species
CGAAUACAGAACAAUAUGACGGUCUCUAGUGGUUUCACGGACUGACAAAGAGAUCGUUUGAACUAGAUUACUGAGAACAUAACUGAGAGAACAAAUCUCUGGACCCAAUGGCUAAAUGAAAAUGCAUAUCCCAAGGCUAUUUCCAGUAUCUCACUCCUCAAAAGACUGACAAGAUCAUUCAUCUGCAGCUCAAUUUGUUUUAAUCUUUGUAUAGUGAAGACAAGGGUGGAGCCACAGGUGUCUACUAGUUCUGCAGAUCCCGG